UUAUAUUUUAUAGAAUUAAACUAUAUCUAACAGUAUCAAAAACUAUUGUGCAUCUUACACUAAAAUAUA
rnacentral:tRNA from 1 species